rnacentral:rRNA from 1 species
CCCCUAGUUUCUGCGAGUGAAGCGGGAAAAGCUCAAAUUUAAAAUCUGGCGGUCUUUGGCUGUCCGAGUUGUAAUCUAGAGAAGUGUUAUCCGUGUCGGACCGUGUAAAAGUCUCCUGGAAUGGAGCAUCAUAGAGGGUGAGAAUCCCGUCUUUGACAUGGACUACCGGUGCUUUGUGAUACACUCUCAAAGAGUCGAGUUGUUUGGGAAUGCAGCUCAAAAUGGGUGGUAAAUUCCAUCUAAAGCUAAAUAUUGGCGAGAGACCGAUAGCGAACAAGUCCCGUGAGGGAAAGAUGAAAAGAACUUUGGAAAGAGAGUUAAACAGUACGUGAAAUUGCUGAAAGGGAAACGCUUGAAGUCAGUCGCGUUGGCCAGAAAUCAACCUUGCUUUUGCUGGGCGUACUUUCUGGUUGACGGGUCAGCAUCAAUUUUGACCGUUGGAAAAAGUUCAAGGGAAUGUGGCAUCUUCGGAUGUGUUAUAGCCCUGGUUCGCAUACAGCGGUUGGGAUUGAGGAACUCAGCAGGGAAAAAA